CUGCGUUUAAUCCUUAUAAAAUUGAAUAUUAUUUUAAAUUUAUAAAAGAGAAACCAUUUUUCUUUUUAACAAAAACUUGGCUCUGAUUUAUUAAUAUGGCAUGAACUAGAAAAUACACAUGGUUUUUAUUGAAAGAGGCGAGGUAAGAAAAUAAAUAACUAAUGUUAUAAAAAUAUAAGCUAUUUUUUUCUUAAGGUAUUAUAGGGAUACAAAAUGUCUUGAAAAGUCCCGCUAGCACCAGUGUUGAAGCUUAAUUAAAAAGUGAAAGCUUGUAUUAGUCUAGUUAAAUAACUUUGGUUAAUUUGGUGCCAGCAUCCGCGGUUACACCAAAGAAUUAAGUCAUAUAAAUACGGUAAAAAGAUAGUUAAACUUAGAUUUUAUGUUUUUUAAUUAUUCAUAAAGAGGUAAAAUUUAAAUAUGAAUAACUAAUCUAAUGAAAACUAACAUGUUGAAGCUAUGACAGCCUUGAGGGAAACUGGGAUUAGAUACCCCACUAUUCUUGGCUAUAAAAUAAUUAAAUUUACCAGGGUACUACGAAUCGUUUAAAUUUAAAACUCAAAGGGCUUGGCGGUGUUUUAGACCCCUCAGGGGAACCUGUCUCAUAAUCGACAAUCCACGCUAAACCUGACCCUUUUUUGUUUUCAGUCUGUAUACCGUUGUCGUCAGGUAACUUUUUAGAGAUUAGAAGUUAGCUAUAAAUACAACUAAAUUAUAACGUCAAAUCAAGGUGCAGCUAAUGAAAGGGAGAGGAUGGGUUACAAUUAUUAAAUCAUAAUCACGGAAGCAACAGGAAUAAGGUUGCUAUGAAGGAGGACUUGAAAGUAAAUUAGACUAUAUAAAUAACUUGAAUAAGGCUCUGAAAUGUGUACACAUCGCCCGUCGCUCUUGUUGGAAAAUAAGAUAAGUCGUAACAUAGUAGGGGUAAUGGAAAUUGUUCCUAAACU
rnacentral:rRNA from 1 species